rnacentral:rRNA from 1 species
CGGGAAUCGCCAAAGGCAAGCCUGCAUGUCUAAGUAAAGCCUAGCUAAGGUGAAACCGCGAAUGGCUCAUUAAAUCACACUUAAUCUACUGGAAUGUUAGCAGUUACUUGGAUAACUGCGGUAAUUCUGGAGCUAAUACAUGCGAAAAAUCUCGACUCACGAAGAGAUGCUUUUAUUAGAUCAAAACCAAACAGCCUCUGGCUGUAAUACUGGUGACUCUGAAUAACUUCGGGCUGAUCGCAUCGCCUUGUGCGGGCGACGUUUCCUUCGAAAGUGUGCCCUAUCAACUGUCGACUGUGAUAUAGACGCUCACAGUGGUUUUGACGGGUAACGGGGAAUCAGGGUUCGAUUCCGGAGAGGGAGCCUUAAAAACGGCUACCACAUCUAAGGAAGGCAGCAGGCACGCAAAUUACCCAAUCAUCGAAGAUGGAGGUAGUGACGAAAAAUAACAAUACAAGACUCAUCCGAGGCCUUGUAAUUGGAAUGAGUAUACUUUAAAACCGUUCCCGAGGAUCUAUUGGAGGGCAAGUCUGGUGCCACCAGCCGCGGUAAUUCCCAGCUCCAUUACCGAAUCUAAAGUUUGUUGGGGUAAAAAGCUCGAGUUUGGAUUUCGGCAGCAAAGGUUGGUCGAAAUCCCUUUCACACUGGAUUUUUUGCCGGGGGGUUUUGCAAAAUUUGACCAGGGGAACUUAUCAAUUGGCCUUGGAGCCGGAAGUUAAUUUGAAAAAAUUAAGGGCCAAAGAGACCUUAAUUCUUAAAAUUUCGGAGGGAAAAUGGAUGGAGAUCGUUUUUUUUUUAUGGUUUUCCGUAUGCUCUAAA